AGAGUUUGAUCCUGGCUCAGGACGAACGCUGGCGGCGUGCUUAACACAUGCAAGUCGAACGCUGAAGCUCAGCUUUUGUUGGGUGGAUGAGUGGCGAACGGGUGAGUAACACGUGAGUAACCUGCCCCCUUCUUUGGGAUAACGCCCGGAAACGGGUGCUAAUACUGGAUAUUCACUGGCCUUCGCAUGGGGGUUGGUGGAAAGGUUUGUUCUGGUGGGGGAUGGGCUCGCGGCCUAUCAGCUUGUUGGUGGGGUGAUGGCCUACCAAGGCGGUGACGGGUAGCCGGCCUGAGAGGGUGGACGGUCACACUGGGACUGAGACACGGCCCAGACUCCUACGGGAGGCAGCAGUGGGGAAUAUUGCACAAUGGGCGCAAGCCUGAUGCAGCGACGCCGCGUGAGGGAUGACGGCCUUCGGGUUGUAAACCUCUGUUAGCAUCGAAGAAGCGAAAGUGACGGUAGGUGCAGAGAAAGCGCCGGCUAACUACGUGCCAGCAGCCGCGGUAAUACGUAGGGCGCGAGCGUUGUCCGGAAUUAUUGGGCGUAAAGAGCUCGUAGGCGGCUGGUCGCGUCUGUCGUGAAAUCCUCUGGCUUAACUGGGGGCUUGCGGUGGGUACGGGCCGGCUUGAGUGCGGUAGGGGAGACUGGAACUCCUGGUGUAGCGGUGGAAUGCGCAGAUAUCAGGAAGAACACCGGUGGCGAAGGCGGGUCUCUGGGCCGUUACUGACGCUGAGGAGCGAAAGCGUGGGGAGCGAACAGGAUUAGAUACCCUGGUAGUCCACGCCGUAAACGAUGAGUGCUAGGUGUUAGACCCUUUCCGGGGUUUAGUGCCGCAGCUAACGCAUUAAGCACUCCGCCUGGGGAGUACGACCGCAAGGUUGAAACUCAAAGGAAUUGACGGGGGCCCGCACAAGCGGUGGAGCAUGUGGUUUAAUUCGAAGCAACGCGAAGAACCUUACCAAGUCUUGACAUACUGUGAGGACACAAGAGAUUGUGUUGUUCUGACCUUUGGUUAGACACAGAUACAGGUGGUGCAUGGUUGUCGUCAGCUCGUGUCGUGAGAUGUUGGGUUAAGUCCCGCAACGAGCGCAACCCUUGUCAUUAGUUGCCAUCAUUAAGUUGGGCACUCUAAUGAGACUGCCGGUGACAAGCCGGAGGAAGGUGGGGAUGACGUCAAGUCCUCAUGGCCCUUAUGACCAGGGCUUCACACGUCAUACAAUGGUCGGUACAGAGGGUAGCCAAGCCGCGAGGUGGAGCCAAUCUCACAAAACCGAUCGUAGUCCGGAUUGCACUCUGCAACUCGAGUGCAUGAAGUCGGAAUCGCUAGUAAUCGCAGGUCAGCAUACUGCGGUGAAUACGUUCCCGGGUCUUGUACACACCGCCCGUCACACCAUGGGAGUGGGGGAUACCAGAAGUAGGUAGGGUAACCGCAAGGAGCCCGCUUACCACGGUAUGCUUCAUGACUGGGGUGAAGUCGUAACAAGGUAGCCGUAGGGGAACCUGCGGCUG
rnacentral:rRNA from 1 species